GUUCGCGAAAAUUUCGGCGCAACCACUGUCUCCGAGAGUCAAAGUCGGCAAACGAGCCGGUAAUUCUGACGAAAGAGUCGGCAAACGAGAUGGUAUUUUUAUCAAUCAAUCCUACUUGAUGAAGCCAGGCUUUUUCAAGUGAAUGAAGUGUCAGAGAAGAAAGUGGCUGAAGAGGCUGUGAUUUGACACCUCUAUUCAGCAGAAAUUUGAUAUGCUUCAGACGAAAGGAAAUGAAGUUUCAUCAUCUGAAGUCGUAGACUUUAAACGUGGACACGAAGGCAUUUGGGUGAACCAAGUGAUGUCCAAUGACGGCAACAGUACAGGAAGCAUAUCACUUCUGCGCUGGCAUCCUGAGAACAGCGAAAGGACUGAUGUGCGUCCUCUCUGCUACUGCUUCUAUUAACAGUUGUAACUCAUUCAGACGAACAGCAUUGAAGAUGGCCUCUAUGUCACAAUUGACGACUUCAUUACUUUGCUGUGUUUU